rnacentral:lncRNA from 1 species
AUAAAAAAAAAGAACGAUUGGCAGUUUUUUAAAGAUGGCUUACUAUUUUCUUCUUUCGAUUAUUUUUUACUUAUUUACGAUUUUAAAAAAAGGGAGAAGGUGAUACCACUGCGAAUUUUAUUUAUUUAUUUUAUUUAGCCCCUCCGCCUUUUAAUGUUUUUGUAAUUAAGUUUUUUUUUAUUUUUAAAUUUACCCCUUUAUUUAUUUUCGAUUUCAAUUCGAUCCUGAUUGGACGACGCCGUUUAGGGAAAUAGGGAAAAUUUCCCUUCCGGUCCCUCCAUGUAAUAUGCGCGUUCAAUUUGGUCCUUCAGUUUCCAUUUAUGUAUAGAUUUGCCUCAGAGUUUUUAUUUACAGUUCC